rnacentral:rRNA from 1 species
GUGUCAGCCGCCGCGGUAAUACGUAGGGGGCGAGCGUUACCCGGAAUCACUGGGCGUAAAGGGAGCGUAGGUGGCCUAACAUGUCAACUGUGAAAACCCGGAGCUCAACUCCGGACUUGCAGUUGAAACUGGUAGGCUUGAGGACGGUAGAGGAAGACGGAACUGCCAGUGUAGGGGUAAAAUCCUUAGAUAUUGGCAGGAACGCCGGUGACGAAGGUGGUUUUCUGGGCCGGUUCUGACACUGAUGCUCGAAAGCCAGGGGAGCGAACGGGAUUAGAUACCCCGGUAGUCCUGGCCCUAAACGAUGUUCACUAGGUGUGGGGAGCGGAAAGCUCUCCGUGCUAAAGCUAACGCGAUAAGUGAACCGCCUGGGGAGUACGCCCGCAAGGGUGAA